CGAUUUUGUUUAAAUCAAUGUUUAAAUCGCACGCUUUGAAAUUUAAAUAAAUGGAAAAUAAAUCUUUCAAAAAUUUUUAUUUAAUCAUCUAUAAAAAUGUAUAAAAAAAAGUACGGAAUAAACGACGAGGAAAAAGCUGAAAUCUUACCGUUAACAAAAGCUGAAGGAGAUAUAAUCAAUUUUGACCCUAAAUAUCCUUUCGGUAAUCCUUCUAUUAUUCCUAAAUUUUGGGAAGAGGUAAGAGAUGAAUACAAUGCUGGGAAAAAUGGGCUUAGUGCCUCUCAAGCUCAAAGAAAAAUCCGUCUUUUGUACUUGCAGCAAACUAUUUCAAAAAAUGAUGAUAUUUUAGUUCAUCUUUUAAGAGUCAUUCCUGAUAAGUUUAAAAGCGUUGUUAAUGGAGAUAUUAAGUACACCAAUUUAGUGUUUGAGAUCAAUGAGUUUGUCAUUCUUAUUUUGGAAGAAGACUCUAAGAAAGAACGGAGAGAAAGAAAGUAUGAUAAACUUUUAAAGAUUGACAACUCUAGGAGAACAAUUUUGCAUUUAGCAGCAGAACAAGAUUUAGAUAUGGUAGUUGAAACAAUUAUAUUGUUUUACCCAAGCCUUGUUAAUGUAUCAACAAAUAUUGCAGGUUUCAAUGACAAUCCUUUAUGCAUUGCGCUCAGCAAAUUUUAUGAUAGAACAGCAAGUUUACUUGUUAAAUCUAUGGAUAGUUACAGUGUUCGGUGUUUAUUUGAAACUAAUGAUUCAGUUGAGGCAAGAUUUCAUUUUAAAGACUACAUUGAUCCUAAAGAAAAUAUUUCAAUGAAGCUAACAGUUUUGGCUAUUCUUGAGAAACUUAUGAAUCCUUACUGGCCAUUUCAGCCUAUUAAUCAAGCUGAGAAAGAAAUUGAAUGGUAUGACAUGCCAAAAGCUCCGUUGUCUCAUCAUUUUUUCUUCCAAUUGUUGGAUGGAGAUGACAAAGGAAAUGCCCCAGAGAAUAAUAAUAAAAGAUUUAAUUACCGAAGUAAAUCAUGCUUACACCUCAUAGCUCAUUCAUCAAGUUGCAGAGAGGCAAUUCAACAUCCAGUUGUUAGAUUAUUAGUAAAAAGGAAAUGGAAUGAUUACGGUCAGAACAUAAUGAGGAUUAACGCUGGUCUGUACCUAAUUUUUCUUCUAUUGUUCUCUUUUGCUCUUUUUUUACAACCUUCAACUCAGAGAAUGCGCAUUUUUUGCAUGUUUUGUGAAAUUGGCACAAUUUUGUUUACUUUCUUUUAUAUCCUAUUGGAAUUGGAUGAAGGAGACAAGCAUUGGCUGAUUUACUUCAGUGAUUAUACCAACUACAUUGAUAUAUUAGGAUUGGGAACUAUAUUGCUCAUCAUUCCGUUUCGCUUUGCUAAGUUGUUUCAUAUUGAAUGGAUUAUUUCAGCAGUUGCUUAUUUUAUAAACUGCUUGAGGCUGUUUCAGUAUUUCAUAGUAAUCAAGGAACUUCACAUCUACUAUCGUACCUUUCACAUAAUAAUUGUUGAAGAUAUUAGAAAGUUUGCUGCUUUGUUUCUGGUAAUUAUACUUGCUUUUACAGGAUCUAUCACUAUGGCACUAAAAUCAACAGCUGAAUUGCAUAAAGUUGGAGGAUACUGGGGUAUAUUUUUUAAAGAAAUACGUGGUUUGGCUGAGUCUCAAGGUUUUUCUGAUGACUACAGUAACAUCAAUGUUAUUGUGGUGAUUUUUUUGAUGUGUAACAUGUUCUGCACUAUGGUUGUUCUUCUUAAUAUUUUGAUUGGUCAAAUAAGCAAUCGAUAUAAUGAAGUCCAAUCCAUGGCUAAAGUUCAGUAUGAUAUUGAUAAAACAAAGUUUAUAACUAAGAUUGACAACUCAAGACUGUGUGGGAAACUUCGCAUUCGAUAUUACCAAAAUGGCGGUUAUACAACAAGUUCUUCAGAAGAAGACGGAAUAUUGACCAAAUGAAUCCUAAACUUGAAAAUAGAACAUAUUAUAUAUUUUCCAAUGGUUUGUUGGCUUCUUCAAUAUAAAUUGUUGCCAAGAAAUAAUCACCAUGUUAAUUAGUUAGAGUCUGGGUGCUUAUUUUACAUAAGAUGUUGUCAUCAGAAAAAAUCAUGCUAUCUUUUUGAUUAGGCCGUUGAUAAAAAAUUUCUCCAAAAGAUAAUCUUUUUAUGCAGUCAUUUAAAUACUUGUGAAUGGAACAAGCAGUUCAAUUCACAGUUCAAUUGAUGGUUUAAUCGAAUGGUUGUUGUAUAGCAUUUUAAUUCUCUUUCUCCAAUUUCAUGUAGUUUUCUUGGAACUCAUAGAAUAAAGUUAUAGCUGAUUGGGUGGUCAUGAAAGAAAACGAGUUUUUAAAGGAAGAUAA